rnacentral:rRNA from 1 species
AUGGCUGUCUGCCCCGUCCCCGUCGCCGAGGAGGAGCUCGCGCUCGGGAAGGACGAGGAGACGGCCGCCUCCGGGGAGCAGCAGAAGGAGGAGGGGCACGCGGCGGCGGCGACGAUGGGCGCGGCCCCGCCGUCCUGCCCUGCCCGCCAUGGCUGCCAUGGACGAGCUCGAGCUCGACUGGGGAGCAAGGGGCCGCCCCGCCCGUCCCGCUCUCCAUGGCCAUGGCCAUGGCCGAUGACCGCGGCCCCGCCCGCCGCGGCGACCAUGGACGAGCUCGAGCUCGAUGGGGGAGCAACGGGGAGAGGAACGUGA